rnacentral:rRNA from 1 species
AUUGAACGCUGGCGGCGUGCCUAACACAUGCAAGUCGAGCGGUAACAGGUGUAGCAAUACAUGCUGACGAGCGGCGAACGGGUGAGUAAUGCUUCGGAAUCUACCCAAUGGUGGGGAAUAACCAGCCGAAAGGUUGGCUAAUACCGCAUACGUCCCACGGGAGAAAGCAGGGGAUCGCAAGACCUUGCGCCAAUGGAUGAGCCGAAGUCGGAUUAGCUAGUUGGAGGGUAACGGCCUACCAAGGCGACGAUCCGUAGCUGGUCUGAGAGGACGACCAGCCACACUGGGACUGAGACACGGCCCAGACUCCUACGGGAGGCAGCAGUGGGGAAUAUUGGACAAUGGGGGAAACCCUGAUCCAGCGAUGCCGCGUGUGUGAAG